rnacentral:rRNA from 1 species
AAUCCUAAGUAGUCUGCAAACAACACUACUCGCCAGAGUACUACAAGCAAUAGCUUAAAACUCAAAGGACUUCGCGGUGCUUCACAUCCCUCUAGAGGAGCCUGUUCUAUAAUCGAUAAACCCCGAUAAACCCUACCACCUCUUGCUAAUCCAAUCUAUAUACCGCCAUCUCCAGCAAACCCUAUUCAAGGCCACAAAGUAAGCACAAGCAUACUACAUAAAAACGUUAGGUCAAGGUGUAGUCUAUGAAGUGGAAAGAAAUGGGCUACAUUUUCUACUAGCAGAAAAGCACAUUUAACAACAACCUUUAUGAAACCUAAGGGCCAAAGGAGGAUUUAGUAGUAAAUUAAGAAUAGAGAGCUUAGUUGAAUGGGGCCAUGAAGC